CUUUGGGUCCGCCCGUUUCUCUAAUCAAGUUGUAACACUCGCUGCUGUGGUCCACAGCUUCAUUCCUUGAAGCCCGUGAGACACGAACGCUUCCAUUGAGAAAAACCUUCCAUCAGAAGAAGACUUCUCGUCUCAGUGGGACUGCUGAGUUGAAUGGGUGAUGCACCGAACUACCCAGUUCUCUCCCUUAGGAGUUUUCCUCUUUUUUCAAACCUGAGAAGCAAAAGUGCCAUAACAAUUGUGAAACGAUUCAGAAGAAGAAUGUCAGCUUUUGACAAGUCAACUUUUAUCUCACUUGAAGGGACAGGAGGAAAUCAGCAGAUGAAAGGAGAAUUGAUGAUUGAUGAGGCCUUUGGCACAAAAAGUCAUAUCUAGGCCCUAUACAUCAAAAGGUGAAGCUGGGUCAUGAAGGUCAUGAAGGCCCUCAGUGUGCAGCCUCUGUAAACCUGCUAAAACUAUUCUAUGAAAAUGAACAGGACUAUUCUUCCUCAAACAAAGAGAUCGUGUGAUGAAGACUCACCAGAGCUGUUCUCUAUAAGCUUGAAGAGCAAUGGUAUCAGUGGGAUAUAAGUGUCAUGGGGAGGAUCUGAAAAUGGACUCCAUAGAAAGAGACUCUGAGAUGAAAGACACAAAACUGAGAACAUGCUUGAUGAAGAAACACUUGAUGAAGUCUUUCAAAAGUCAGGAACAAGAAAUAGACACAAUGAACACUAGUAACAAACAUCAGACAGCAGGUGCUUUUUUUUCUGAAGCUUUGGUAGUGUAACUGUAAGAGUCCUGGAAUUGGAAAAGCAAAUCCAGAAGUUGAGUUCCAUGACUUUUUUGCUGUUUGCCUUUGGACUUGCAUCAUUUAUAUUUUUAAUUCAUCGAGGAUGAGAAAAUUGAUUAACACAAAAUCUUUUCAUGUCUUUUCUGAUGAGAGACUAGCUGAAUCCAAGAAGAGAAGCCCUUGAAGAGUGUAUUCUAUUCUAGACAAGCAUUCACACAUUGGCUUCUUUGGUGCCAGAUUAAAGAAUGAAGAAAGGAUCAAAUUGAGACAUCCAGGGGGGAAGAGUUCCCUGGCAAAACUCCAAUCUGCCUGAGCACUGAGGUGGAGCCACAGAAGUCCGGGUCAUUUGCACCUGGGAGGAGCCUGGCCCCUCCUCUUCCUGUGUGGAAUCUGGGAUUUAAUCUGUGAGGAGGGAAGGCCAAGGGCAGGAAGCACAGGCUCUCACUUCACUAAGAGUCUCUGUUUCCCCUUUUUUUCCUUUAUGCCUAAUUAAUAAAUCCCAUUUUUCUCACUCUUCAAAUAGUCUUCAAGCCUAAAUUUUCAUGACCAUGGAACAAGGACCCCAUCUUUAGCUGAACUAAGGAAAAGUCCUGCAACAAAAUUCUUUGCUAAAAAUACAUGAGGUUGCCUUUUCCUUCUUAAUCUUAAAAGAAAUAUAUUUCAAUGGUUAACGUUUUAGUAAUUCAAAAAUUAUCAAGCAUUUGUUCACAACCAUAAGAUGUGCAUUGUUUUAUAUUCCUACUUAAUAAUAGACUAUAAUUGUCUAAUUAGACUGCCGAUGUUGAUCUUUGUGGCUCAUUGCAUUGAUUAUAAGCAGUGUUUUGGGUUUGUGUGUGUGUGUCAAAUUUAGGGUUUUUUUGGUAUGGCUGCUGGUUGGUGUAGCCUGUAUCCAGUAUCCUGUAUUAAUUCUAAUAUUUGCAUUUUGAACAUAUUUACAAGUUGCUAAAAUAGCAAAGCUUCGAGAUGAGCCUGGCUGAUAUGGCAAAACCCCGUCUCUACUAAAAAUACAAAAAUUAGCCUGGUGUGGUGGUGCAUGCCUGUAAUCCCAGCUACUUGGAAGUCUGAGGCAGGAGAAUCUCUUGAACCCAGAAGGUGGAGGUUGCAGUGGGCCAAGAUCGCACCACUGCACUCCAGCCUCGGUGAUAGAGCGAGACUACGUCUC
rnacentral:lncRNA from 10 species